rnacentral:rRNA from 1 species
UACGUAGGUGGCAAGCGUUGUCCGGAUUUAUUGGGUUUAAAGGGUGCGUAGGCGGUCUAUUAAGUCAGUGCUGAAAUAUCCCGGCUUAACCGGGAGGGUGGCAUUGAUACUGAUGGACUUGAGUGCAGUCGAGGUAGGCGGAAUUGACGGUGUAAGCGGUGAAAUGCUUAGAUAUCGUCGAAGAACACCGAUAGUGAAGACAGCUUACUAGAACUGUAACUGACGCUGAGGCACGAAAGUGUGGGGAUCAAACAGG